AUUGAACGCUGGCGGCAGGCUUAACACAUGCAAGUCGAACGAGUGGCGGACGGGUGAGUAAUGCUUUGGAAUCUAGCUUAUGGAGGGGGCUAACUACGGUAAACUGUAGCUAAUACCGCGUACCAUAGUAUGAGCCCAAGUGGGAUUAGGUAGUUGGUGAGGUAAAGGCUCACCAAGCCGACGAUCUCUAGCUGGUCUGAGAGGAUGACCAGCCACACUGGGAAUGAGAAACGGACCAGAAUCCUACGGGAGGCAGCAGUUGGGAAUAUUGCGCAAUGGGGGCAACCUGACGCAGCCAUGCCGCGUGAAUUAAGAAGGCCUUCGGGUUGUAAAGUUCUUUCGGUAGCGAAGCGGUAACUAAAGAAGAAGCAACGGCUAACUCCGUGCCAGCAGCCGCGGUAAUUC
rnacentral:rRNA from 1 species